AUGCUCUUAUACAGCUACAAUAUGAUGAUACAAAUAUCCUUUGUCCAACUGGCAAAACGGAGAGGAUCAGAUCAUAAUUUCCUGAACUGGUCUUUUGGGAAACUUAAACCUCUGAGUUCCUGUAGACUGAGCUCCUCAAGAGUCAUCUCUCAAUUUUUCUCCACUCAAAUCUUAAAGAAGGGGACCACAUCAAGAAAAUAUUUGAUCUACUCCAUAAUCAGACCAAAUGUUAAGUAUUCAAGUCCUUAUUUUAUUUCAAAAUGAGUGUUUCUUGAUACCUGGGCAAAAUCUGAUAGUUUUCCUUUCAUACAUUUUCUUGGUCAGUACCAGGACUUUAGAAGGAGCUCUCAUUUGAUUUUUAAAAGAUAAGUGGCAAACUGGAUAUCUAUACAAAAGUAAUUUUGUACCUCAGCAAAAGAGUGUAGUCAGCAGAUAAUUCACUCCUGUGGCUUUUCAUUAGCCAACUCUCCCUUGGGGCAAUUUAGAGGUUAAGGCCCUUCUCAUCUACUCUCUCAGCAGCUGUUGAAAUUACAGCUGCAUUUCACCAGGCAAGGGGAAAAAAGGAUAACUCUCACCAGAACUAACCUUUAUAAUUAAGGUAGAUGUCAUUUAUUACGUGACUCAUAUGUUAUUCAUUUUAGGCCUAUUAUUUAAUCCUCUCAACAUCCCUAUGAGUUAGAGCUCAUUUCUAUGUUAAAGGUGGGGGGGGGGGAGACAAAAAAACCAGGUUUGAGGAUAUUAAGUAGUUUCCCCGACUCACACAGUUAAUAAAUGGCAGACUGGUCAUGGUCUUUGUGACUCCAAAGUCUACUACCUUUCUGCUCUGGCCUUAUAGCAUCCCUCCCCUUUAAUUCCACACACAGGAUUAAAAAAAAUCUCAGCCAUCAUCAAGGCUCCUGGGAAUAAGAGUAUCUAAGAGGAGAAGGCAAUGGCACCCUACUGCAGUACUCUUGCCUGGAAAAUCCCAUGGAUGGAGGAGCCUGGUGGGCUGCAGUCCAUGGGGUCUCGAAGAGUCGGACACAACUGAGCGACUUCACUUUCACUUUUUACUUUCAUGCAUUGGAGAAGGAAAUGGCAACCCACUCCAGUGUUCUUGCCUGGAGAAUCCCAGGGACAGUGGAGCCUGGUAGGUUGCCGUCUAUGGGGUUGCACAGAGUCAGACACGACUGAAGUGGCUUAGCAAGAGGAAAUGCAAGUACCUCAUCUCCCAAGGGUGAUACAUAACCCCACUGCUAUAGUGGUUUUCAUAAUUUUUUAAAUGCAAAAAACUUACCCAGAACCUACUUGGAAAGUAGAAACACACUUUAUUAAUGUAUGUUUACAUGGUAAGAUCAAAUGUGCUACUUUUGCUUAGUAUAAAGAAGUAAGCUAUUUUUAUAUAUAUGAAAAUCUGAAAUUAGGAGUAAAAUUAGCAUUUUUAUUUUUUAUCAGCUUGACUAUCAAUUAAAUACAGAAUAUUUACACAACCCCCUAAAGCAGCUU
rnacentral:lncRNA from 1 species